rnacentral:tRNA from 1 species
UGCGGCUGGAUCACCUCCUUUCUAAGGAUGAUCCUUCAGAGAGCUCACGCUCGCUAUCGGAUCGUUUUAGAAACAUUCAGGGGCCAACAGUCCUGGGAUUGUUGAGCUCCAUUGGCGGGAUUUCGCCGUCUUCGUUUCUCUUUCUUCGCGGACGAACACGCGCCGGGGCUGCGCUGUGCCAAGCAUCGGCGCUUUGCCGAUCGCGUGCGGCAUGAGCUCCUCGUGUCAGGGGCUUGUAGCUCAGUUGGUUAGAGCGCGCGCUUGAUAAGCGUGAGGUCGGAAGUUCAAGUCUUCCCAGGCCCACCAGCCUUCGCGCUCUGCGCUUCGGCCCGGCAGGCCCUUCCGACGAAGGCUGCUGCGCCGUAGCCUUGGCGAAGGC